CCGUGUUUCGAGUUACUCCGGAACACAGUGUUUAUUCUGUGUUUAGUCACGCCGCGUCAAAAAUGUUCCACAGGGUUACUUCCGGUUUAUCGUUGUUUACCUUUGUUUACCAACAGUCGACACUUCGUGUAUUAGGCCUAGGCUUAAUUUUGUCGAUCAUCAUGAAAUUGAAAUACACAUUUAAUAGUUUGGGGUGUAUGCGGUACAUAUUUGUUUAUGAGCGUUUGAUAAGCUACUAUUGAUCUACGAAAUACAACGAAAGACUUCGUCAAGAACAGAAGACGAUGUCGUGUAACUCACACAAGGCCCGGCCCAGCUGUCUAGUAACCGGAGGGGUAAAGGAAAAGAACGUAUUAGACUCACUGAAACCUGUCAAACUGGUUAAUGGGAACAGGAUAAUUUUCCAUGCCUUUCACUUGAGGUCUUCAGUUUCAUCAUUAAUCAUCUGAAUGUCGGUAUGCCAAACUCUCAUGAUGUCAUGCCAUUACUGGAUAUUCCUUAACACUGGUUUAUUUAAACCACACUACCUAUAACAUUGCCAAAUAUUAGACUGAAAAUUUUCAAAUACACAAGAUUUGAAGCAGCAAAAGAAAAGAAUUACAUAUGUAUAACACACAAAAAAGAAGAAAUUAAUUCUCACCUGGCUGAUAUGAACUUUUUACUCCUUUUUAGCUCCCUUUCACUGCAUACCAGCCAAUAACUAGCAGUCAUUAUAUGCAGAUCAGCCAUUGUUAUCAACCUGUGUAUAUAUAUGUUGAAUAAAAUAUGAAUGAAAA